rnacentral:rRNA from 1 species
GAUGAACGCUGACAGAAUGCUUAACACAUGCAAGUCAACUGUGGCGGACGGGUGAGUAACGCGUAAAGAACUUGCCUCACGGAUAGGGACAACAUUUGGAAACGAAUGCUAAUACCUGAUACUGUGAGAGAGCUUUGCGUCCCAUUAGCUAGUUGGAGAGGUAACGGCUCACCAAGGCGAUGAUGGGUAGCCGGCCUGAGAGGGUGAUCGGCCACAAGGGGACUGAGAAGCGGCCAUUACUCAUACGGGAGGCAGAAGUGGGGAAUAGUGGACAAUGGACCAAAGUCUGAUCAAGCAAUUCUGGGUGCACGAUGAAGUUUUCGGAAUGUAAAGUGCUUUCAGUUGGGAAGCGGUAACAACAGAAGAAGUGACGGCUAAAUACGUGCCAGCAGCCGCGGUAAUAC